rnacentral:rRNA from 1 species
GGGUGAGUAAUAUAUCGGAACGUACCCAAGAGUGGGGGAUAACGUAGCGAAAGUUACGCUAAUACCGCAUACGAUCUAAGGAUGAAAGCAGGGGACCGCAAGGCCUUGUGCUCCUGGAGCGGCCGAUAUCUGAUUAGCUAGUUGGUAGGGUAAAGGCCUACCAAGGCAUCGAUCAGUAGCUGGUCUGAGAGGACGACCAGCCACACUGGAACUGAGACACGGUCCAGACUCCUACGGGAGGCAGCAGUGGGGAAUUUUGGACAAUGGGCGCAAGCCUGAUCCAGCAAUGCCGCGUGAGUGAAGAAGGCCUUCGGGUUGUAAAGCUCUUUUGUCAGGGAAGAAACGGGUGGGGCUAAUAUCCCCAUCUAAUGACGGUACCUGAAGAAUAAGCACCGGCUAACUACGUGCCAGCAGCCGCGGUAAUACGUAGGGUGCAAGCGUUAAUCGGAAUUACUGGGCGUAAAGCGUGCGCAGGCGGUUUUGUAAGUUUGUCGUGAAAUCCCCGGGCUCAACCUGGGAAUGGCGAUGAAGACUGCAAGGCUAGAGUUUGGCAGAGGGGGGUAGAAUUCCACGUGUAGCAGUGAAAUGCGUAGAGAUGUGGAGGAACACCGAUGGCGAAG